UGGGGAAUUUUGGACAAUGGGCGCAAGCCUGAUCCAGCCAUGCCGCGUGCGGGAAGAAGGCCUUCGGGUUGUAAACCGCUUUUGUCAGGGAAGAAAUCUUCUGGGCUAAUACCCUGGGAGGAUGACGGUACCUGAAGAAUAAGCACCGGCUAACUACGUGCCAGCAGCCGCGGUAAUACGUAGGGUGCAAGCGUUAAUCGGAAUUACUGGGCGUAAAGCGUGCGCAGGCGGUUAUGCAAGACAGAGGUGAAAUCCCCGGGCUCAACCUGGGAACUGCCUUUGUGACUGCAUAGCUAGAGUACGGUAGAGGGGGAUGGAAUUCCGCGUGUAGCAGUGAAAUGCGUAGAUAUGCGGAGGAACACCGAUGGCGAAGGCAAUCCCCUGGACCUGUACUGACGCUCAUGCACGAAAGCGUGGGGAGCAAACAGGAUUAGAUACCCUGGUAGUCCACGCCCUAAACGAUGUCAACUGGUUGUUGGGAGGGUUUCUUCUCAGUAACGUAGCUAACGCGUGAAGUUGACCGCCUGGGGAGUACGGCCGCAAGGUUG
rnacentral:rRNA from 1 species